UCUUUGGAAGAAGGCAGAUCCAAAAACAGCUGAGAUGCAAGAAGGUUCAUAAUUCUUCAAGAGAUCCGACCAUAGCGUUUUCAAAUCCUUUGUGGGAAUACUGGAUCUCCGAAAUUACUGGAAAAGCUCAGCAGUUCUGCCAGCAUCUGUGGAGAGAAAGCAAUGACCUGAAAUAAGGGGGAAGAGGCUUGAGGGAUCAGUGACCCUCAAUGCCAGAGCCCUACACAGAUCACAGUGUGCAAGCAUCCUAUCACGAGGUUUACACCCAAAGUCCAAUGGCAGUAGCAGCCCCUGUGAUGCAGCAAGAACAAGUAAGGCAGCUGCCUGGCCAGGAGUCUCUAUUGCACUGAGUCUGGAUUCUAGUUUCGUCCUCCCUUGGAUCCAAAUAUUGAAGUCAUUCAGCCACCUGCAUUCAGUGAUAAAAUGCAUUUUUGGAAUCUGUUCUGAAAACAAAAGAUGUUCGAAAUCGCAAUGGGUCAGGCAGGAUCCAUGAAGACAAGAUAACAACAUUGAGUAUCUAUAACUGAAGAAAGGGCUCACAGAAUUAUGGGGACACCCUGGAACCAGACAAGCAGCACUGAAGCUGCCAUCAAAGGAGACAACUUAUCAGUAGCGGUGAUGGUGACUAUGGUCCUCGAUAUAUACACAACAAGAUGCUUGCUGGCUGGAACAGCUAACUGUGUAAACUUUCCCAAUUUGUUCUCUUUUGAGGUCCCAGACGCUCAUCCACAACAGAGGGUAGUGGGCCAAUUGGACUUCCUUCCAGCCAGUGACUGCAGUUUUGUAGAGAGAUGACCUUGUACCAUAAAAGUCAUCCUUCAUUCAAGGGGCAGUUGGUGUGUGCUGAUGCACAAUGGUGAAUGCUCUCUGUCCUGGUUUUCAUUCAUUCCUAGGCCACCGUUCCAAUAAAAGCUCAUCCACCACAUCUAGCCUUAGGGUGGCUGUUGGCUGACAAGGACUGGCCCCUCUACAGCGGGCCAAUGAUUCAUCUCCACAACUCAAAAACAUGUGGUCAGUGUGCCUUUAACAAGAGCCAUGAGGCCAGGAGAACCGUCGUUGUAAAAAUGACCCAGCUGCUGAAUGCAAGAUUUCUCCAAUCUUGUCCAGUCUGAAGCUGUAUUCAUUGGAGCUGAACCCCAGCUCAUGGAGGAAUUAUUCUAACAGUAGGCAUCAGGUGACUGCUGAACUUAUCGAUUUAUACUCAUUCCAUCAGGGUGCUGGCUACAGGCAGAAACAGCAGCCUUUACCCAUAUUGUUUCGUCACACCUCAACUGAACAGUACGUUGCUGUGGAAGAUGCACCAGCCGUGUGGAUGGUUAAGUAAACACUUUGGCUAUGGCAGCCAUAUUCAGUGUGGUCAGCAGUCUUGGAUUAUGACCACAGCCCUGUCCUCUUCAAUGGUGUCCCCUGGUCUACUCGGCCUGGACACCACAGAAUACUGCCAAAUGAAGGCUGCUUUCCCUUGAACAAAUCGAGCUGAUGCUAUUCCGGAGAUUGCACAUUGCUUAUCUCCUGAUCCUGAAGAGCACCUUGUUGAUAUGAAGAGCACAGGUGGCUACAUAGAGAUCAUGCAUGGCCCAUCAUCAUCACUGAAUCACAGAAUUGUUCACCCUCGGGUGGCCACUUGGCCCAUCUUGCCUGCACUGGCUCUGUGAAUAAGCACACCACCUAAUACCACUUGCCCACCUUCUACCCCACCUUCUCCACAUGCCCCCAUUAUCCCCUGCAGUUAUGUACAUUGUACGUGAGUUCAGGGCAGGAAGAUGACAAGCAAAUGGAGGUUUUUUCCUGGAAAGACCAGGCAAAAGAUGAGGAAGGAAUGUCCUAUACUGUUUGCUAGACUCAGCUUGUAGCGAGCAUAUAGAAGUGCUGGACUUUUAAAAGGCAAGUAGCAGAAUGGUUCCUUCUUGCAUAUAGCCUCAGAUCUGAGGAAAAGAGACUCCUCGAUUGUGAUGAGUUAAAAAAAAGUGGCAAAUAAUUAAAAAGGAGCUGAAUUUUUGUUUGCUCCAUCUGAAAGGAAGCAGUCAGGAUAGGGCGUACGACUGGAGAUUUCCUAUAAUUAUAAUCUCUUUCUGUGUUACAACAUUCAGGGAAAAUGAAAGGAGUGCUUUUGACACAUUUGUUUGCAUGAAAUAAUAUCUGUCCCAAGAAAAACCCCUCCAGCAUCUUUCCAUUAAGUACACGAGAGCAAGUUCAACCACAAGGACUGGUGCAAACUUGCUUGAGAUAAAGGGACCUAUCCAUUUUUGGGAUCGUUUUUUUCCCUGCCCACCUCUCUUCACUUUAACUCCAUCAAUCCCUGUAAAAGAGAAAGAUACAGACAUUUAAUUUCCCCUUCCAGGUUUUUCUAGGUUCCAUUCUGUUAUGAAAUGCCGAUGAUGAUUUUCUUAAACAAGACAUUU